ACGUAAUUGGUCAAGCUGAGAAUCACAGCCAUUAACGAGCGAGUCGAAGAUUGUGUGCAUUUGCAUCGUGACGCAGUUAGGUAAAUAUUAAUAAAAAAUACUCACAUACGUUUUGAUAAAACGAUAAAUGUAAAAUAAAAAGACGUCCACAGAUUCUUCGCUUUCUGUUGAGUUGUAAUUUGCACUUUAUUUUACUAGAACUACUUCGACUUGGUUUCCACCAACUUGUUACAUUGAUCGUGCACGUUAACCGAUUCAAAGGAUUGACUGGAGAUGACUCAGAGGAAAGGAAAGGUUCUCUUAAAAUCUUCACGCAUGGAAGCCCCUGGAUUACGAGCUAAUCCAAAGAAAACUGCAAAGGCUCUUGAACUGACGGAUUCAAUCCCUAUUCCAAAGCAACCACACAAGAGAGACUUAACAAGAGCUACCCUGAAAAAACAGGCAGCAACACAUAUGGUGGAUGCCCUGAAGGAGGAACUGAGGGAAAAAAAAGUACCUGAUCCUGACACGGCCCCACCACUUUUUGACUCAGAGUCAGACUCUGACUCAACAGUCAUUUUUGAUGAAUCCUCUCCCAUGAAGGAACCAUCAAGAAUUCUUGAAUCAGAAAGUGAGGAUGUUAGCCCAUCACAGUGCCCAAAAAAGAAACCAAAGCUUGACAAUGAAAUUGUCAGUGCAUUGAAAGGUAUUUUAGGAUGA
ensembl:lncRNA